CAUCUAUCCAUAUGCCAAACUUACCUAUAAAAGAUUGGGUUAUUUCUUAAGAAACUUAAUCAACCAAAAAAAUUCCAAUUCCUUUUUCACAAUAAAGAAAACAGAAGUAUUUUGCAUUUUCUUAAUUACAUUAUUAGUGUUUAUAAAAGAUUUUCUACUUUUUGAAGCAAUUUCUGCACCUAAUCCUGUGCUUAACACGACAGGAAAAAUAAUUCGAGUAGGAUUCGACUAUAUGAUUGUGCCAGUAAGAAAAGACUUAGGAGGCGAUCUUGGGCUAGCCUUUUGUUGGAACCCAAGUUUGUCCACUUGAUGUUGGCCCACGUAAUAAUAACAAUCCAGGUCAACAUCACUCCAAUGUAUGGAGGUUGGACCACUAUAAUCCUCAAAAGGAAGAUCAUAUGAUCGCGACACCAUUAGCAAUUGGUUCAAGAUUGUGAAAUAUGGAGUUGGAUACAAGUUUGUAUUUUGUCCAAGUGUGUGCACUUAUUGUGAUGUGAUUUGUAAGAACGUUAGAUUUUUUGUACAGAAUAAUAGUCAGGCACUCUUGACAUUGAGUAACGAGCCAUUAGAAGUCGUGUUCAAGAAGGUGUGAACAAUAUGUUCCUAUCAAAUAAGAAAAAUAAAUUAUGAAUGAUCUUCAUGUAAUAUUUAUAUUCAAAUAAAAAAAUUUAU